UGUGCACUGGUGAGGUCCCUCAGCCUGGCCUGCACCCUCUCACAAUCCAGGACCCCUUGAGGGAUGUUGGAGGCCCAGUGCACGGAUUCAGCCCAAUCCCCGCAGGCCAGGCUGAGGGACCCCACCAGUGCAUG
rnacentral:pre_miRNA from 1 species